GUUAAUGUAGCUUACAAUAAAGUGUGGCACUGAAAAUGGUAAGACAGAUUGUAAUACAUCUCAUAAACA
rnacentral:tRNA from 1 species